CUCAUGGACUGUAGCUAGCCAGCCUCCUCUGUCCAUGGGAUUUCCCAGGCAAGAAUCGUGGAGUAGGUUGCCAUUUCCUUCUCCAGGGGAUCUUCCUGACCCAGGGAUUGAAGCCGUGUCUCCUGUUUGGCAAGGAGAUUCUUUACCACCGAGCCACUUGGGAAGCCCAGGAACAAAGCUGGUGAAGUGCAGAUCGUGUUGCCUCACUGAAUAUGCCCAUCACGAUUUGUUCUGUAACCUUGGAUGCUCACCACAGCACACAGAUUUGCGACGACUGAAACUUACAGGUCAGACCCAGAUGGCUGAGCAGAUUUCCUGAUUUAUUGUUGGCUUAUGAUUAUUGAGUUCAAACAAAAUAAAUGA
rnacentral:lncRNA from 1 species